CUCACUGUAUUUCAUGCUUGUGUGUGAUCGUUGUCAGAUCGCUCUAUUCUGUGUGUAGUGUAACCUGCCUGGGCUAUCACAACACUUACACGCAACAGUUUACUCCAACGUGAUUCACCUUGAGAAGAAAGAGUGAUGAAAGGACCAGAGCUAAAGGAUUCCACAGGCCGCUUUCGAUUUGCUCAGUCAUGUCUGGGCCUGGCGGGCUGCUUGUGUAUCAGCUAUGCUGUUUGGACGCCUCAUUGGCUGGAUGAGAGGGGCCUGUGGGUGAACGGGAACGAGUCGAGUCCAGACGACAGCUGGACACAGGGACAGGGCAUUGAAGGUCUGGGGGCUCAGAGGGUGUUUUCUGCUCUAUCGUUCAUCAUGGCUGUGAGCUCGGGAGUUCUGUGCCUGGUCUUCGCUUUCUGCUGGACGUCCCGGACCGUGCGCUCUUAUUCCAACACACGCUCUCUACUGAUGGCAGGCCAGGCACUCUACCCCACCAUGCUGCUACUCAUCACACUGGUGCCUACUGGGUUCUUCUUUCUUCUCAGCUGGGCACUCUUCACCAAUCAGCACAUCGCUGAAAUCAGAGUCGACAUCACGCGCCUGGGGUUCUCCUAUUGGACGGGCAUGGUGGGCUGGGCUUUGCUGUUAGCUGUGCUGCCGGUGGUGUUCCUGGUGGAGCAGUUUGUGGUGCCGGACGUGCUGCCGGAGCUGAUGAGGCAGGCCGAGACGUGGUGGAAGGCCCCUGAGGUGGCUUACGCUCGCUCGUUUAGCGAGAGCUUCUACAACCACAGGGGGCCGAAACUUGACAAGGAGUUCAAUAGGUACCUGUCAGUGCCCUGAGAAGGAGUGUAGCGGCACAGGCCUUGUGUCAAAUCCUGCUAUUGACUCAAUACCUGCACCUACUGCUCCUAACAGCCGAACAUAAGGCCUGAGCUCCGGUGGAAGGCUUGCAGAAGCUCGGAAGGUCGCGGAUGUGGAUACUGCACUUUAGCCGAGAGCUGUUGAGGCCUGCCAGAGCCUGAUGAGCAAAGGAAUGGCCUUGAUUUGGGCCUAUGAACUGAUAUUAAAGCCUGCUGAAAAAAUACUAAAUGUUUCCCACUUUCAGAAAGCUGUGUAAACACUACCUGCAUAAUGGCAAGACUACUGUUUACUGUUACUGAUGUACACUGGAUCACUUUCAGGCUGCAUUUAGAAUUUAAUGCAGUACUUAUUUAGAUUUUAUGAACAAUAUGACGACAUCUUAAUACAAUUCUAGACUAAGGAAUGGAGUGAACAAAAUUCAUGUCAGGCAGAGGACGAUCAUCAUGUAUUCAUGUUGUAACAGCUCCCUCGUGUGGUUAUGCCAUGUUACUACAUUGUUCAAGUUACUACUCGGUAUUACAAGUCAAGGUGCUUGUAGUCACAUAUCUCAUAUCUGAUCAGCCCAGGUUGAGCUUGUUUUUGUUUGGCAUGUUGUUGUCAUUACAAAUAAAUAAAAAGGUAAAUAAAUAAAUAACCA
rnacentral:lncRNA from 1 species